AAAGUACUCCCUCCGUCCCAAAAUUCUUGUCUUAGAUUUGUCUAGAGACGGAUGUAUCAAGUCACAUUUUAGUAUUAGAUACAUCUGUAUCUAGACAAAUCUAAGACAAGAAAUUUGGGACAGAGGGAGUAGUUG
rnacentral:pre_miRNA from 1 species